CAGGGAAUAGUUUAUGUAGAAUUUCAGCUUUGGGUGCUGAUGGUGGAGUAGAACACUUCUUCCUUGA
rnacentral:tRNA from 1 species